rnacentral:rRNA from 1 species
CCUACGGGAGGCAGCAGUGGGGGAAUCUUGCGCAAUGGGCGAAAGCCUGACGCAGCCAUGCCGCGUGAAUGAUGAAGGUCUUUAGGAUUGUAAAAAUUACUUUCACCGGGGACGAUAAUGACGGUACCCGGAGAAGAAGCCCCGGCUAACUUCGUGCCAGCAGCCGCGGUAAUACGAAGGGGGCUAGCGUUGCUCGGAAUUACUGGGCGUAAAGGGAGCGUAGGCGGAUAGUUUAGUCAGAGGUGAAAGCCCAGGGCUCAACCUUGGAAUUAGCCUUUGAUACUGGCUAUCUUGAGUAUGGGAGAGGUUAGCGGAACUCCGAGUGUAGAGGUGAAAUUCGUAGAUAUUCGGAAGAACACCAGUGGCGAAGGCGGCUAACUGGCCCAUUACUGACGCUGAGGCUCGAAAGCGUGGGGAGCAAACAGGAUUACGAUACCCUGGUAGUCCACGCCGUAAACGAUGAGUGCUAGUUGUCGGGCAUGCAUGCAUGUCGGUCGGACGCGAGCUAACCGACAGUUAAGUACACUCCGCCGUCGGGGAGGUACGGUCGGACGAAGAAGUUAAACGUUAACUAAAGUAGUUAAGUUAGUACGGUUCGUUGAGACGUUCGCCGACGGGACGACGACGAGGGGAGGAGG